UCUGUCAAGAGCACAAACGACGCUCACUGUUCCUCCAUCGUUCUCACUCGAACCAAGCCCCAAAUUCAAUCCAAAUUUGGGCGAGUGAAUCCCAAAUCCUUAACCCACGCGUCCCUCCUUCUCUCAUCUUACUGUUGCUAAUGGUUUCUGACGCAAGAUUCCCCUCCCCUCUCACUUUCUCGAAUUCGAGUUGUAUCAUACGAUUGGAAGGUUCUGAAGAUGAGAUGCUGGAUGAGUGUGAGGCGUUGGAUUGAUUUCACUCAAUCCGAGCCCCAUAUUCAUCAAGGAUUCUUCAAAAGAAGCCUGAUCCGAUUUUGUGAAAGGGGGACUCUGGUAAAAAUAAUUCGAAAAGAAAAAGGCGGAAAGGCUUCUUGAACGGAUGGUUUUCGGAGUCUAUUUUCUUCUUUGAAAAAUUCUUUCAAAGUUUAAGAGAAACAUAUAUACAAUUUCUUUUACUUUUCUGAAUCGGGAUUUGAGGUCCAAGGAGAUAACAAUUGAAGUUCAAGCUUGGUUUUCUACUGUCAUCCUGCUGACUCGCUAGUGAACCUCGCUAGGAUUUGGAGUCGAGAAGUGUAUUGUCGAGUCCAUAAUUGUUAUAAAAGAGAUUUGCAACUUCAGCGUGUGCAGGCAACAACUUUUCUAGCUGGAGAAUUGACUUCGUAUAGUUACCUCGGGAGCUGGUAACGACCUGUUUCCUUAGUUGUUCCUUCAACUCUUGAAGAGUUGAACCAUAUCCCAAGCUGGAACCUUUUGAUAUUAAGGUCUUGCGAAUGUGUAAUAAGUUCCUUAUCUGGUUAUUGAUAGUAAAUUUGUUAGAUCAUCAAAAUAUAAAACAAGGUACUUGUAACCUAUUAGUUUGGUUAAAAAAAAAAAAAAAAACUUGAAAGGCAAAUUGUUCGAUGUUGUUGAGCUAGACUGUUGAAGAAGACAAAGUCGUCUAUUGAUUUUUGAA